rnacentral:rRNA from 1 species
UACGUAGGGUGCGAGCGUUGUCCGGAAUUAUUGGGCGUAAGGAGCUCGUAGGCGGUCUGUCGCGUCUGCUGUGAAAAACCCGAGGCUCAACCUCGGGCCUGCAGUGGGUACGGGCAGACUAGAGUGCGGUAGGGGAGAAUGGAAUUCCUGGUGUAGCGGUGGAAUGCGCAGAUAUCAGGAGGAACACCGAUGGCGAAGGCAGUUCUCUGGGCCGUAACUGACGCUGAGGAGCGAAAGCGUGGGGAGCGAACAGG